UUACUAACUGAAUGUGGAGGGAGUUUUCUCAGUAAGACUCUUUUUGAUAAUGUAAUUAUAUUUAAUACUUAAGUGCGUACAAACUAUGUGCUGGUGGAAAAGAAACAAAACACAGCAACAGGCAGUAACCUUUGUUCAGCAGGAGAGAGUAUAAGCACAAAUCAAAGCAAGCAACAAACAUAAAAACAUAAAUGAACAAAAAUAGCAUGUUAAACUGGAGAUAAAUCCUCCCUUCUUCUUACAGCUACAUAACUGGAAUUCAUGGCCAUGUGGAGAGAGAAAGGGAAGAGAAAGAAGAAUCUUUGUACACUAAGGAUCACAUGCAACCCAUUAAAAGUGCUACAGCUAUGGCAGAUCUCCUGUGUCUCUUGAGUUAUAUAUGCAGCACUGAACAUGGGAAGAAGACGGUUGCAGCCAUUUAAUAGUAAUAUAUUUAAACUUCAGAAAAGAGAAGAUGGGCUACAGUCACAGCAGAAGGAAACACUUCCUCUGCGACAGAAAAAAAGAUGAUCUUCUUAUUGAGCUCUAGCCUCAGGAAAUUAGACUUAGUGGCUCCAGACUAAGCUGUGUAAAGUGAAAUCUGAGAUAAAAAAUGGAGCACUGAAGUUGAAGAGCUACAGAAUGAACUGGGUAUAUCCAGCUAGUUAUAUGGGCAGGCCAAAUGUUCAGGUACUGUACUAAGAUAUCAUUAACUGCCCUGAACUACAUAAAUUAAGCUGAUUAUGCCUUCACUUAAUUAACUGAGAAUGACCUAUUGAUGUAUAGGCAGAGCAAGAUAGAGACUACAUGCUGCACUGUACUAAAUUUAUAGGUUUUCAAUUAGUUCUACUAUUGACUGAGACUACUUAGAAAAGGAGUUUACUUUUAUGUUUUGUAGCAGGUUUUUAAAUUAGUAAGUUAUUUGAAAAUGUUCUGUUUGUAUGCUCUCAAAUUAUUUG